rnacentral:rRNA from 1 species
GAGCGGUAAUACGAGAGCCCCGAGCGUUAUCCGGAUUUAUUGGGCGUAAAGCGUAAAAGGUGGCGCUGUUAGUCGAAUGUGAAAGCCCCAGGCUUAACCUGGGAAACGCGUUCGAAACGGCAGUGCUUGAGGACAGGAGAGGUGUGCGGAACUCAUGGUGUAGGGGUGAAAUCCGUUGAUAUCAUGGGGAACACCAAAAGCGAAGGCAGCACACUGGCCUGUAUCUGACACUGUAUUACGAAAGCGUGGG